rnacentral:rRNA from 1 species
CCUACGGGUGGCAGCAGUAGGGAAUCUUCCACAAUGGGCGCAAGCCUGAUGGAGCAACACCGCGUGAGUGCAGAAGGGUUUCGGCUCGUAACACUCUGUUGUUCGAGACGAACAUGCGCUAGAGUAACUGUUCACGCAUUGACGGUAUCCAACCAUAAAGUCACGGCUAAAUACGUGCCCGCAGCCGCGGUAAUACGUAGGUGGCUCGCUUUCUCCGGAUUUAUUGGGCGUAAAGCGAGCGCAGGCGGUUUCUUAUGUCUGAUGUGAAAGCCUUCGGCUCAACCGAAGAGGGUCAGCGGAACUCGGGGGACUGGAGUGCAGAAGAGGAAAGUGGAACUCCAUGUGUAGCGGUGGAAUGCGUAGAUAUAUGGAAGAACACCAGUGGCGAAGGCGGCUGUCUGGUCUGCAACUGACGCUGAGGCUCGAAAGCAUGGGUAGCGAACAGGAUUAGAGACCCGAGUAGUC